AGGAUGAACGCUGGCGGUCUGCUUAACACAUGCAAGUCGAACGGAGUAGCAAUACUUAGUGGCGGACGGGUGAGUAACGCGUGAGAAUCUACCUUCAGGACGGAGACAACAGUUGGAAACGACUGCUAACCCCCGAUGUACCGAAAGGGCAAAUAUUUAUAGCCUGAAGAAGAGCUCGCGUCCGAUUAGCUAGUUGGAGAGGUAAAAGCUCACCAAGGCGACGAUCGGUAGCUGGUCUGAGAGGACGAUCAGCCACACUGGGACUGAGACACGGCCCAGACUCCUACGGGAGGCAGCAGUGGGGAAUAUUGCGCAAUGGGCGAAAGCCUGACGCAGCGACGCCGCGUGAGGGAUGACGGCCUUCGGGUUGUAAACCUCUUUCAGCAGGGACGAAGCGAAAGUGACGGUACCUGCAGAAGAAGCGCCGGCAACUACGUGCCAGCAGCCGC
rnacentral:rRNA from 1 species